UGACAGAGUGAGGGAGGGUGUGACUAGUGACAGAGAGAGGGAGGGUGUGACUAGUGACAGUCACCCCUCCCUCACUCUGUCACUAGUCACCCCCUCCCUCACUCUGUCACUAGUCACCCCCUCCCUCACUCUGUCA